rnacentral:rRNA from 1 species
UGGGGAAUCUUGGACAAUGGGCGCAAGCCUGAUCCAGCCAUGCCGCGUGUGUGAAGAAGGUCUUCGGAUUGUAAAGCACUUUAAGUUGGGAGGAAGGGCAGUAAGUUAAUACCUUGCUGUUUUGACGUUACCGACAGAAUAAGCACCGGCUAACUCUGUGCCAGCAGCCGCGGUAAUACAGAGGGUGCAAGCGUUAAUCGGAAUUACUGGGCGUAAAGCGCGCGUAGGUGGUUUGUUAAGUUGGAUGUGAAAGCCCCGGGCUCAACCUGGGAACUGUAUCCAAAACUGGCAAGCUAGAGUACGGUAGAGGGUGGUGGAAUUUCCUGUGUAGCGGUGAAAUGCGUAGAUAUAGGAAGGAACACCAGUGGCGAAGGCGACCACCUGGACUGAUACUGACACUGAGGUGCGAAAGCGUGGGGAGCAAACAGGAUUAGAUACCCCCGUAGUCCCUGAGCGGGCUGGCAAGGCGCAU